rnacentral:rRNA from 1 species
CCCUUAGAUGUUCUGGGCCGCACGCGCGCUGCACUGAUGCAUUCAACGAGCCUAUCCUUGACCGACAGGUCCGGGUAAUCUUUGAAUCUGCAUCGUGACGGGGAUAGAUUAUUGCAAUUAUUAAUCUUCAACGAGGAAUGCCUAGUAGGCGCAAGUCAUCAGCUUGCGUCGAUUACGUCCCUGCCCUUUGUACACACCGCCCGUCGCUCCUACCGAUUGGGUGUGCUGGUGAAAUGUUCGGAUCGGCCGUUUGUCGCGGUUUCCGCGUCAUGUGGCUGAGAAGUUCAUUAAACCCGCCCACCUAGAGGAAGGAGAAGUCGUAACA